GUCAUGUCCAAGAAUCAGAGUGCACUCUCUUUACUGUUUUUUUUUUCAUUUGACUCAAUGAUUCAGGUUUUG